GACGAACGCUGGCGGCGUGCUUAACACAUGCAAGUCGAACGGAAAGGCCCUGCUUUUGUGGGGUGCUCGCGUGGCGAACGGGUGAGUAACACGUGAGUCACCUGCCCUUGACUUUGGGAUAACUUCAGGAAACUGGGGCUAAUACCGGAUAGGAGCUCCUGCUGCAUGGUGGGGGUUGGAAAGUUUCGGCGGUUGGGGAUGGACUCGGGGCUUAUCAGCUUGUGGGUGGGGUAGUGGCUUACCAAGGCUUUGACGGGUAGCCGGCCUGGGAGGGUGACCGGCCACAUUGGGACUGAGAUACGGCCCAGACUCCUACGGGAGGCAGCAGUGGGGAAUAUUGCACAGUGGGCGGAAGCCUGAUGCAGCCACGCCGCGUGCGGGAUGACGGCCUUCGGGUUGUAAACCGCUUUCGCCUGUGACGAAGCGUGAGUGACGGUAAUGGGUAAAGAAGCACCGGCUAACUACGUG
rnacentral:rRNA from 1 species